rnacentral:rRNA from 1 species
GACAGAGGUGCCGAGCGUUAGGCGGAAUCACUGGGCUUAAAGCGUGUGUAGGCGGAUCGUUAAGUACCUUGUGAAAUCCCCCGGCUCAACCGGGGGAACUGCUGGGUAUACUGGCGAUCUUGAGCAAUCUAGGGGCAGAUGGAACAAGUGGUGGAGCGGUGAAAUGCGUAGAUAUCACUUGGAACGCCAAAGGUGAAGACAGUCUGCUGGGGAUUUGCUGACGCUGAGACACGAAAGCCAGGGGAGCGAACGGG